GAUGGCCAGGCUGUCUCCACCCGAGACUCAGUGAAAUUGAACUCGCUGUGAAGAUGCAGUGUACCCGCGGCAAGACGGAAAGACCCCGUGAACCUUUACUAUAGCUUGACACUGAACAUUGAGCCUUGAUGUGUAGGAUAGGUGGGAGGCUUUGAAGUGUGGACGCCAGUCUGCAUGGAGCCGACCUUGAAAUACCACCCUUUAAUGUUUGAUGUUCUAACGUGGACCCGUGAUCCGGGUUGCGGACAGUGUCUGGUGGGUAGUUUGACUGGGGCGGUCUCCUCCUAAAGAGUAACGGAGGAGCACGAAGGUUGGCUAAUCCUGGUCGGACAUCAGGAGGUUAGUGCAAUGGCAUAAGCCAGCUUGACUGCGAGCGUGACGGCGCGAGCAGGUGCGAAAGCAGGUCAUAGUGAUCCGGUGGUUCUGAAUGGAAGGGCCAUCGCUCAACGGAUAAAAGGUACUCCGGGGAUAACAGGCUGAUACCGCCCAAGAGUUCAUAUCGACGGCGGUGUUUGGCACCUCGAUGUCGGCUCAUCACAUCCUGGGGCUGAAGUAGGUCCCAAGGGUAUGGCUGUUCGCCAUUUAAAGUGGUACGCGAGCUGGGUUUAGAACGUCGUGAGACAGUUCGGUCCCUAUCUGCCGUGGGCGCUGGAGAACUGAGGGGGGCUGCUCCUAGUACGAGAGGACCGGAGUGGACGCAUCACUGGUGUUCGGGUUGUCAUGCCAAUGGCACUGCCCGGUAGCUAAAUGCGGAAGAGAUAAGUGCUGAAAGCAUCUAAGCACGAAACUUGCCCCGAGAUGAGUUCUCCCUGACCCUUUAAGGGUCCUGAAGGAACGUUGAAGACGACGACGUUGAUAGGCCGGGUGUGUAAGCGCAGCGAUGCGUUGAGCUAACCGGUACUAAUGAACCGUGAGGCUUAACCUUACAACGCCGAAGGUGUUU
rnacentral:rRNA from 1 species